rnacentral:rRNA from 1 species
UUUUAUGAGAGUUUGAUCCUGGCUCAGGACGAACGCUGGCGGCGUGCCUAAUACAUGCAAGUCGUACGCUUCUUUUUCCACCGGAGCUUGCUCCACCGGAAAAAGAAGAGUGGCGAACGGGUGAGUAACACGUGGGUAACCUGCCCAUCAGAAGGGGAUAACACUUGGAAACAGGUGCUAAUACCGUAUAACAAUCGAAACCGCAUGGUUUUGAUUUGAAAGGCGCUUUCGGGUGUCGCUGAUGGAUGGACCCGCGGUGCAUUAGCUAGUUGGUGAGGUAACGGCUCACCAAGGCCACGAUGCAUAGCCGACCUGAGAGGGUGAUCGGCCACAUUGGGACUGAGACACGGCCCAAACUCCUACGGGAGGCAGCAGUAGGGAAUCUUCGGCAAUGGACGAAAGUCUGACCGAGCAACGCCGCGUGAGUGAAGAAGGUUUUCGGAUCGUAAAACUCUGUUGUUAGAGAAGAACAAGGAUGAGAGUAACUGUUCAUCCCUUGACGGUAUCUAACCAGAAAGCCACGGCUAACUACGUGCCAGCAGCCGCGGUAAUACGUAGGUGGCAAGCGUUGUCCGGAUUUAUUGGGCGUAAAGCGAGCGCAGGCGGUUUCUUAAGUCUGAUGUGAAAGCCCCCGGCUCAACCGGGGAGGGUCAUUGGAAACUGGGAGACUUGAGUGCAGAAGAGGAGAGUGGAAUUCCAUGUGUAGCGGUGAAAUGCGUAGAUAUAUGGAGGAACACCAGUGGCGAAGGCGGCUCUCUGGUCUGUAACUGACGCUGAGGCUCGAA